rnacentral:rRNA from 1 species
AGUCGAGCGGAAACGACACUAACAAUCCUUCGGGUGCGUUAAUGGGCGUCGAGCGGCGGACGGGUGAGUAAUGCCUAGGAAAUUGCCUUGAUGUGGGGGAUAACCAUUGGAAACGAUGGCUAAUACCGCAUAAUGCCUACGGGCCAAAGAGGGGGACCUUCGGGCCUCUCGCGUCAAGAUAUGCCUAGGUGGGAUUAGCUAGUUGGUGAGGUAAUGGCUCACCAAGGCGACGAUCCCUAGCUGGUCUGAGAGGAUGAUCAGCCACACUGGAACUGAGACACGGUCCAGACUCCUACGGGAGGCAGCAGUGGGGAAUAUUGCACAAUGGGCGAAAGCCUGAUGCAGCCAUGCCGCGUGUAUGAAGAAGGCCUUCGGGUUGUAAAGUACUUUCAGUUGUGAGGAAGGGGGUAAGCGUUAAUAGCGUUAUCUCUUGACGUUAGCAACAGAAGAAGCACCGGCUAACUCCGUGCCAGCAGCCGCGGUAAUACGGAGGGUGCGAGCGUUAAUCGGAAUUACUGGGCGUAAAGCGCAUGCAGGUGGUUCAUUAAGUCAGAUGUGAAAGCCCGGGGCUCAACCUCGGAACUGCAUUUGAAACUGGUGAACUA